rnacentral:rRNA from 1 species
UACGGGGGGGGCAAGCGUUGUUCGGAAUUACUGGGCGUAAAGGGUUCGUAGGUGGCUUGUUAAGUCAGACGUGAAAUCCCUCGGCUCAACCGGGGAACUGCGUCUGAGACUGAUGAGCUCGAGUGCAGGAGAGGAACGCGGAAUUCCAGGUGUAGCGGUGAAAUGCGUAGAUAUCUGGAGGAACACCGGUGGCGAAGGCGGUUCUCUGGGCCUGACCUGACGCUGAGGAGCGAAAGCGUGGGGAGCGAACAGG